AUGGACCUGUUCGUGCCGCCGGAGGGCGAUUCAGAAAAGAGGAUUAGCCAUGGGCAGAUGGAGGGUGCUGCUGUUGCGCACCCUAUAGAGUCCCAGGCAUCUAUCAGCGUCGCCCAGGGCGACAUCCGCCGUGCCGGAGACCUCUGCAGCGGCGGCGGAAAUGCUGGAUCUGUCGGCGAGGGCCCGCUUUUGCAAGUGUGCUCAGAGGCUACCAGCAGAUGGACACACAGAGUAAGGAUCAGGAAAGCCCCUGCGGAGCGAGAGCUAAAUCCUAACCGGAAAAGUGCUCUUGAACUAUCGAUGAGGGCGUUCAUAAGUAAACGAGAUGGCAAUGUAGUCAACCCAGCAGUCGGAACUUCAUUUGAUUCACUAGAUGAGGCGUAUCAAUUCUACAAUUUGUAUUCGUGGGAGGUUGGAUUUGGCAUAAGGUAUUCGAAAAGCAGGCUAAAUGUGGAGAGGGUGAAGUGCAUGCAGGAGAUUGUAUGUGGAUGCGCGGGUAAACCGAAGAGGGAGAAUACAAGAUCAACUAGGUGCGGCUGUGCUGCCAGGAUUAGGCUACUGAGGUCGGAUGACAAUGGAUGGUAUAUUUCAGAGCACAUGCCUCUUCACAACCACUCUCUCUCAAGUACUUGUGGCGAGAAAAUGCACUGGCCUUCACACAGGCUCAUUGAUCGCUACACUAAAGAUCUUGUUACGCAGCUGAGAGAAAACAAUGUUAGCCUUGGAAAGGUUUUUAGCAUAGUUGGUAGUUUUUUUGGAUCAGUUGACAAUGUGCCAUUUACAAAAAGGUCAUUGAAGACGCUGUGCUGCAAGCUAAACAAAGAACAGUCUGAUUCAGAUGCCCGGAAGACACUGGACAUACUUGCAGAGAUGAAGGCAAACGAUCCAGAAUUCAAUUAUACUGUCCAAGUUGAUGAUGAGAGCAGAAUAAAAACACUUAUGUGGGUUAACGGGCGCAGUGUAGAAUAG
rnacentral:rRNA from 1 species